GGGCCCUUCAUGGAAGGGUCCAUUCAACCCUUUAAGGGGUUCUUGGAGGCAAGUUGGGUCCCGCAGCGCGGUAUUCCAGUUCCAAUAGCUUAGCCAAUCCUGUUGAUUUUAACAGUUCGUAAUUGAUCUUUCCGAGGAUGGGUCUGUCUCAAGGACAUGUACUCUUUUCUGAGGAUAUAUCAGUGGUUUUCUCAGGGGCUCUUUAUUGAGUCCCUGGGGGGCUAGCACGUUUACUUUGAAAAAAUUAGAGUGCUCAAAACAGGCGUUACGGCCAGAAUAGUGGUGCAUGGAAUAAUGGAAUAGGAUCUCGGUUCUAUUUUGUUGGUUUUAGGAGUGCGAGAUAAUGAUUAAGAGGGACAGACGGGGGCAUUCGUAUUGCGGCGUUAGAGGUGAAAUUCUUGGAUCGCCGCAAGACGAACAACUGCGAAGGCAUUUGCCAAGAAUGUCUUCAUUAAUCAAGAACGAAAGUUAGAGGUUCGAAGGCGAUCAGAUACCGCCCUAGUUCUAACCGUAAACGAUGCCAAUUAGCGAUCUGCUGGCGUUAAUCAUGACCCAGCAGGCAGCUUCCCGGAAACGAAAAUCUUUCGGUUCAGGGGGAAGUAUGGUUGCAAAGCUGAAACUUAAAGGAAUUGACGGAAGGGCACCACCAGAUGUGGAGCCUGCGGCUUAAUUUGACUCAACACGGGAAAACUCACCCGGCCCGGACACUGUAAGGAUUGACAGAUUUAUAGCUCUUUCUUGAUUCAGUGGGUGGUGGUGCAUGGCCGUUCUUAGUUGGUGGAGCGAUUUGUCUGGUUAAUUCCGAUAACGAACGAGACUCUAGCCUGCUAAAUAGUCUGUGGAUCGCAUUGUCCUCAGCACUUCUUAGAGGGACAAGCGGCACUUAGCCGCACGAAAAUGAGCAAUAACAGGUCUGUGAUGCCCUUAGAUGUCCGGGGCUGCACGCGCGCUACACUGAAGGAAUCAACAUGCCUCUAUCCUUGUCCGAAAGGACUGGGUAACCCUUUGAAACUCCUUCGUGCUUGGGAUAGGGAAUUGUAAUUAUUUCCCUUGAACGAGGAAUAUCCAGUAAGUGUGGGUCAUAAGCUCACGUUGAUUACGUCCCUGCCCUUUGUACACACCGCCCGUCGCUACGAGGGACGGAACCGUUUACUGAAGUCGUUGGACUGAUGUCACU
rnacentral:rRNA from 1 species